rfam:Zootermopsis nevadensis contig19379, whole genome shotgun sequence.
GCCACGGUGGUCUAGCGGUUAGAACGCUGGCCUUGUAAUCCUGAGGGUCUCGGGUCCGAUUCCCGGCGGUGCCC